AUCACAGUCGUGCACAUGCAUAUAGAUUCGAGCCUGCUGGUCCACACCGGACCCCACAAUUAUUCCUCAUUUUCCUAAAAUACAUAGAGUGAUUAUAGUCAACUUGUAUCUAACUCCACUGCCUCCCCAAUACUACUACAGUACCUACAACCUGUAACCUGCCACCCCAAUAUUUUAACCCCACUCCUGCUCUCCAUUCUUUUCUAAGAAAACAGCCCCUCUCAGAUCUAAUCGCCUGAGAAGCUCUUUCUCCCAGUUCCUCGCCUCUUAGAUCCAGUCAUCCGAGAAGCUCGCCGUUCUGUCGGAGGUAGUUUUGAUGGAGCAGCGUCGACGGAGCAGCGGUGCACCACUUCUUCGAUUUGGGCUUCUCCGACGGUGAUCCAACCGAGGUCGGCGAACCCUGCCUCCAUGCCCGCUGACCUGCUCACGGGCCAGGAGGCCCAGCACCAUCACGCCGUCUAAUCUCUCCUCUGCCUAGGUUUUCUUCAGAAUUCAGACCAGCAAUUCCCUGGACGCCAACAUUUUCUACUGGAUCUGGGCAUGCCGUGUGCGAGCAGCAGCUCUAGGCUCCGCACGAUGAUGUUCCAUUUCUUAGCGGUGUGCAGAAAAGCAGCUUCAACAAUAAAAAUGUUAGCUAGUAGAGAGAUACAAGGCAGAGACGGGUACUCCAUCUUGCAGUGCACACCGCAAAGUGAUGUCAAAUGUGAUUGGUUAAUCCAUAACGACUCCUCAUGUAGAAAAGUAGUAAGUAGAAAAGAGUGAUGGAUGCGGGUAAAUCAAUAUAGAAUUUAUUCUCAAAAAACAUAAAA
rnacentral:lncRNA from 1 species